rnacentral:lncRNA from 1 species
GUAAAUGUAAAUACAUCAGUUAAUGAUAUUUCUGACUCAAGAGAAUGAUCCCAUCAGUUGUUAUCUCAAGUCAGACAAAGCCCUGUAAAGAGCCUAAAAUUCAACUGAAUAUAAUUUUAAGUACCUUUAAGCAUUGCAUGGUCCUAAAAAUAUAAAAGAAUGCACGAAUUCAUCAAGUUCCAAGAUCUUUAAAAUGACAUUUCUGGGGCCGGCUCCGUGGCUGAGUGGUUAAGUUCGCGUGCUCCGCUGCGGCAGCCCAGGGUUCGGAUCCUGGGCACGGACAUGGCACCACUCAUCAGGCCACGUUGAGGCGGCAUCCCACAUCCCACAACUGGAAGGACCUGCAACUAAGAUAUACAACUGUGUACGGGCGGGUUUGGGGAGAUAAAGUAGAAAAAAAAAAAAGAUUGGCAAUGGUUGUUAGCCCAGGGGCCAAUCCUUAAAAAGAAAAGAAAAAAGGAAGAUUGGCAACAGUUGUUAGCCCAGGUGCCAAUCUUUAAAAAAAAAAACGACAUUUCUUAGGAUCCCAUCAACUUCAAAGGUGUAGAGAGUGAGAAGGAGAAUAUGUUUAUGGUCUUAGGGACUUACUCACCUGAGUGGAAGCUGCAGGCUCCUACCGGUAGAUAAAAGGAACAGGUCAUGUGUUUAAUUUGAGUCCAGUUGAGGAGGUGAUCCCUCCCCUCUUGAACUUAAGGGACCAUUGACAAAACAACUGUAAAUAGACUAAGCGCCCCACCUUGGAGACACAAAUGAGAAUCCAGGCAGCUUCCCAUGUAAAUCUCUCUUAGUAGAUAUUAUCAGUUGCAACAAAACAGGCUGCAAGUGGCCUGAGACCCUUCCAGUUAUGAUGAUGAACAUGUGGGCACAUUUCAAAGGACUCUAGAGCUAAUCCCAGGAGGUUUCAGUUCUCUUUCAGCUGUUGCUUCCAACACCUGGAGGGCACUUGCUGUCAUCACCGAUGAUCACUUCUAUUCCAAGUCCUUUCUGUGCAAAAGGGUGGGCUGCCAGGCCAACAUUGCACUCUCACCAACUAGCCAUACUGGACAGGAGACUGUGGCUACAAAGAUUCUGGAGGAAGACCACCUCGGCCCCAGUGAAAAAAAAAGAUGGGGCUGACUUCUGCAAAUUUUGGAUACCGUGAUGACCUCAGAAAACCUAGAGGACCUUCCACAACCUUGUGGCAGCUUCAGACUAAGAGGUUAUUUUCACGCAUAGAUUUCGUGUGUGUUUUACAUCCUAGUAAUGUUACUCCACCGGUUCUUAAAUUUAAAUUGGCAGUGAAACAAGGAGGGAGAGGAGGAGGUAUGCUGGGAUCCUCAAGGCGCUGCUGGCU